rnacentral:SRP_RNA from 1 species
GCUGGGCGUGGUGGCAUGCACCUGUAAUCCCAGCUACUUGGGAGGCUGAGAUGGGAGGAUCACUUGAGCUCAGGAAGUCAAGGCUGCAGUGAGCUGUGUUCUUACCACUGCACUCCAGCCUGGGUGACAGAGUGAGACCCUGUCUCAA